UUCAAAUAUAUUGAUUUCUGAACUUUAAAUCAUACUGACUAGUACUUUGACAUCGAGAGUUGGUUUUGUGAUGAUGGUAAAUCGAAAUCUUAUUCCAGUUCUAUGUAUCUCACAAUAUAUUACAUCGAGAUCCAAUAUUUGAUUCUAACCACUACUGUAAAUAUAUCUAACCACGCUGGUAAAUAUAUAGAUAUAGUUGUCCUCUGCUGUUUCCUACCUUUUUGGAGCGAACUUGUCGCCCCUGUCAAAUCUUCUUUGUGCUUAUCGUGGUUGGCUGUCAAGUUUGGUUUAUUUUCUACAUUUGGUUUCGUUGGCACGAUUUUUUUUACACAUCCUUACAUCUAUUCAUCCGAAGUUGUCACCUUAAAGGUAAAGAGCUCAAUUUGUUUGCUGUUUCGGGUUCAUUGAUGAUAUGAACUGUUUGACUAAUAGCUAUGAGAUGUCAGUUUAUUAUAAACUACACGCACAAUUAAGAGCUAAGUUCCCUAACCUAUGGAAACUCUUAUCUUCCCGUCCCCCUUCCAGGUCCGACUUUAGUUCGUCGAUACAGUUUUAGUUCGGUUUUGACAAUUUUUUUCUGUUGCUAAAACUAUUACAAUUUAAUAUCACAUUCAUGAGGUUUUGUUCGCUGUUUGUGUGUAUGUUUUUUUUAUGUGAGUGUGUGUAUGCGCGGUUUCGUUUCCCUUCCAGACCUGUUCGUUCGCAUCAUUGGAAACCCUGCUGUACUACUUUGUGAUUGGGAAUGUUAGGUUAUCAGAUAUGUGUGUAGAUGAGUUAAUCUCCACAGAAUCGUAAAGCUAAACGAAAAGACGGACGCUUAUCGAUCGGAACGUUAGUGCGGUUAGGCGAUAGCGAUAGCGACAGAUACUCUCUAGCUUAGGACACUAUGAAGUAACAGGGCUAUGUUACGUGGGAUGCUUCUUCUCUAACGAUUUGUACUACUGAUUGUGGACAGGUAUUUGAUGGACGCUACACUCAAAUGUUAUGCGUAGAUGAAAGAAGGUAUACGGCUAUUUCUGGGAAAAGUAAAAGCUCAUUUCGGUUGCAUCUUUAUUGCAUUGCAUAUCUCUAAUCUCAAAACGGAAUCGGUUUUCUGCUCGAAACUUCUGCUAUAGUUUGCGAUUUUCCUCGGAGAAAGUGGGCUCAUGCUUUCUGCGAAGAAGAUGGUUGCUAGAGGCCAUUUGUUUGGUAAUCUGCAGUAGAUGGCAAUUGUGGUUAGUUUCGGAUAUUCAUAGCUUGGUAGGAUUUGAACAGGGAUUGUUUGUCAAUCAUGAAUGAAUUAAUAGAUUGCUAAGGGCCAGUUGACUUCAUAAAUCACCGAUCUUUUUUUCGAAAUACAUUAAAACUAAUUGGGUUGAAACGUGGAAUGCUGAAUGGUUCAAAAUUAGGAGCAACGGUUGCAGACGAGAUGUCCAUUUCGAUUAUGAUGAUUUAUUAUUGACCUAAGGGGUGCGAUCUCCAACAUUUUGGUCAUUUAAUUUGAACACAUUUUUUUUCUGUUUGUUUGCUUGUCUCGCA